rnacentral:lncRNA from 1 species
AGCAAAAGAUAAAAUUGAUGGAAGCACGUGACAUUUUCAUGCAUGAUACAAUAGUUAGCAUGUAACAACCCGAACCCACAUAUAUAUGUACACCCCUAAAUAAAUAAAAGAAAAUGUGAAAAAUAACUAAAAAUUAGAAUUUAGAUUUAAAUGAAAGAGUUUUAAGAAUUUUGGGGGGUUUAUUUUAAUUAAAGGACUUA